rnacentral:rRNA from 2 species
AGGUGCGAUCAUACAACAGUAAUGCACUGGAUCCCAUCAGAACUCCAAAGAUUAGCGUGCUUGCUGGAGAGUAGUAUUGGGAUGGGUGAGCUCCAGGGAAGUCCUCAUGUUGCACCUC